rnacentral:rRNA from 1 species
UACGAAGGGUGCUAGCGUUGUUCGGAAUUACUGGGCGUAAAGCGCGCGUAGGCGGCUUUUCAAGUCAGGGGUGAAAUCCCACAGCUCAACUGUGGAAUUGCCUUUGAAACUGUAAGCUUGAGUGUCGGAGGGGAUAGCGGAAUUGCUGAAUGUAGAGGUGAAAUUCGUAGAUAUUAAGCAGGAACACCGGUGGCGAAGGCGGCUAUCUGGACGACAACUGACGCUGAGGCGCGAAAGCGUGGGGAUC